CCUACGGGAGGCAGCAGUGGGGAAUAUUGCACAAUGGGCGAAAGCCUGAUGCAGCAACGCCGCGUGAGUGAUGAAGGUUUUCGGAUCGUAAAACUCUGUCCUCAAGGAAGAUAAUGACGGUACUUGAGGAGGAAGCCCCGGCUAACUACGUGCCAGCAGCCGCGGUAAUACGUAGGGGGCUAGCGUUAUCCGGAUUUACUGGGCGUAAAGGGUGCGUAGGCGGUCUUUCAAGUCAGAAGUUAAAUACUACGGCUCAACCGUAGCCAGCUUUUGAAACUGGAAGACUUGAGUGCAGGAGAGGAGAGUAGAAUUCCUAGUGUAGCGGUGAAAUGCGUAGAUAUUAGGAGGAAUACCAGUAGCGAAGGCGGCUCUCUGGACUGUAACUGACGCUGAGGCACGAAAGCGUGGGGAGCGAACAGGAUUAGAUACCCUGGUAGUCCACGCCGUAAACGAUGAGUACUAGGUGUCGGGGGUUACCCCCCUCGGUGCCGCAGCUAACGCAUUAAGUACUCCGCCUGGGGAGU
rnacentral:rRNA from 1 species